UCUCCUGGAAAAAAGGGUGGUAAUGCCGGAUGUUCCAGUUGAUCGCAUGGUCUUCUGGGAAAGCUUUCGCGGUAUGGGAUGGGGUCGCGUCCUAUCAGCUUGACGGCGGGGUAACGGCCCACCGUGGCUUCGACGGGUAGCCGGCCUGAGAGGGCGACCGGCCACAUUGGGACUGAGAUACGGCCCAGACUCCUACGGGAGGCAGCAGUGGGGAAUAUUGCACAAUGGGCGCAAGCCUGAUGCAGCGACGCCGCGUGAGGGAUGGAGGCCUUCGGGUUGUAAACCUCUUUUAUCGGGGAGCAAGCGAGAGUGAGUUUACCCGUUGAAUAAGCACCGGCUAACUACGUGCCAGCAGCCGCGGUAAUACGUAGGGUGCAAGCGUUAUCCGGAAUUAUUGGGCGUAAAGGGCUCGUAGGCGGUUCGUCGCGUCCGGUGUGAAAGUCCAUCGCUUAACGGUGGAUCCGCGCCGGGUACGGGCGGGCUUGAGUGCGGUAGGGGAGACUGGAAUUCCCGGUGUAACGGUGGAAUGUGUACAUAUCGGGAAAAGAACACCAAAC
rnacentral:rRNA from 1 species